rnacentral:rRNA from 1 species
AACGAACGCUGGCGGCAUGCCUAACACAUGCAAGUCGAACGAGACCUUCGGGUCUAGUGGCGCACGGGUGCGUAACGCGUGGGAACCUGCCCUUAGGUUCGGAAUACCUCCCCGAAAGGGGUGCUAAUACCGGAUAAUGUCUUCGGACCAAAGAGUUAUCGCCUUUGGAUGGGCCCGCGUUGGAUUAGCUAGUUGGUAGGGUAAAAGCCUACCAAGGCGACGAUCCAUAGCUGGUCUGAGAGGAUGAUCAGCCACACUGGGACUGAGACACGGCCCAGACUCCUACGGGAGGCAGCAGUGGGGAAUAUUGGACAAUGGGCGAAAGCCUGAUCCAGCAAUGCCGCGUGAGUGAUGAAGGCCUUAGGGUUGUAAAGCUCUUUUACCCGGGAUGAUAAUGACAGUACCGGGAGAAUAAGCUCCGGCUAACUACGUG